UAAAAAUGUGAGACUUACUAGGAUUUUACAGUUCACUAAGAGUUUCAAAAUAGCUUUUGAAGUUAUCAUCUUUUAUCUAGGUAUAUUACUGAUUUUAAAUCGAAUUUCAAGUGACUGUUGCUCAGUGAUUUCUAUGACAUAGGCUUCUAGAUGGGGCCCUACAACAAUGGUUUCUGUUUGUCUCCCUGUAGGCAGAGUGAGAAAGAAUUUUGGGGUUCUAAUACUUCCAGAAAAUACUUUAUCUUAGGAAUACAGCCUCUGCAAUUAACAGUAAGUGCUGUCGGGAGCCCAGAGGUGGGUGGUCCUGGGCAAAUGCAGCAGGGCUGAUAUGGACUGGGGUUUGGUUCAAGUUUCUGCUUCACAAUGUGUGGUAUGUUUGCUUUAGUCUUCCAGCUUGCUGCUUCAUAUUGGAAGGAUACACUUGCCAGCAUCUCUACCACACUCCAAACAAGGAGAAGGUUCCUUUGUAUCAAGAAAGCAGAAGCUUUCCAAGGAAGCUCACCCAGCAGACUUCCACUUACAUCUCUCUCCACUCCCAUGAGGCCACCCUUGGACAGGUUACUAGAGAGAAGAGGAUUGUGGGAAAAGGAAGAAAAGAGAGUAAAGAAGAGGAAAACAGAAGUCAGAUCUUCUUUUCUGGGUAUAUGGUGGAUUUUAGAUAUACAGAGAAAUCCCUCCCAUUGCAUAGCACAACUGGUACAUAUUUCUCAAUUUAAUAACAAAAUAAUGUAAAAACAUAACUACAAAUUAAAAAGAAUGAAGUACAAUUUGCCAUGACCUAUUCCAGAUGAAAUGCUCUUUCGUGCCAAU
rnacentral:lncRNA from 1 species